rnacentral:tRNA from 1 species
CCGGAGUGGUGCUUGUGUUGGACUUCAAACCAAAUUGAGGAGGCGCA